GGGUAAGUCUUGUACGACCAGCUCCUGCUGAACCCCCCCAGAUCCGGAAGGAAGCAAGGGUAGGCGGUUGUAGCGGUGCGAUGCAAGGAGCUUACUCCUU
rnacentral:SRP_RNA from 1 species